rnacentral:rRNA from 1 species
UACGUAGGGGGCAAGCGUUGUCCGGAAUCAUUGGGCGUAAAGCGCGUGUAGGCGGUUCGGUAAGUCCGCUGUGAAAGUCGGGGGCUCAACCCUCGGAUGCCGGUGGAUACUGUCGAGCUUGAGUACGGAAGAGGCGAGUGGAAUUCCUGGUGUAGCGGUGAAAUGCGCAGAUAUCAGGAGGAACACCAAUUGCGAAGGCAGCUCGCUGGGACGGUAUUGACGCUAAGGCGCGAAAGCGUGGGGAGCAAACAGG